AUACGGAGGAUCCGAGCGUUAUCCGGAUUUAUUGGGUUUAAAGGGUGCGCAGGCGGCCACUUAAGUCAGCGGUUAAAUCGUGGGGCUCAACCCCAUUCUGCCGUUGAUACUGGGUGGCUUGAUUGCGGUCGAGGUUGGCGGAAUUCGUUGUGUAGCGGUGAAAUGCAUAGAUAUGACGAAGAACACCGAUUGCGUAGGCAGCUGACCAGACCGCAAAUGACGCUCAUGCACGAAAGUGCGGGGAUCGAACAGGAUUAGAUACCCUGGUAGUCCGCACAGUAAACGAUGAAUACUUGUUUUCGGCGAUAUAAUGUCGGAGGCAAAGCGAAAGCGAUAAGUAUUCCACCUGGGGAGUACGCCGGCAACGGUGAAACUCAAAGGAAUUGGCGGGG
rnacentral:rRNA from 1 species